rnacentral:rRNA from 1 species
UACGUAGGGUGCAAGCGUUGUCCGGAAUUAUUGGGCGUAAAGGGCUCGUAGGCGGUCCAUCGCGUCGGGAGUGAAAAGCUGGGGCUUAACCCCAGUCCUGCUUCCGAUACGGGUGGACUAGAGGUAGGCAGGGGAGAACGGAAUUCCUGGUGUAGCGGUGAAAUGCGCAGAUAUCAGGAGGAACACCGGUGGCGAAGGCGGCAUCCUGGACCGAGAUUGACGCUGAACAGCGAAAGCUAGGGGAGCAAACGGG